rnacentral:rRNA from 1 species
UAAUACGGAGGGGGUUAGCGUUGUUCGGAAUGACUGGGCGUAAAGCGCGCGUAGGCGGGCUGGAAAGUUGGGGGUGAAAUCCCGGGGCUCAACCCCGGAAUGGCCUUCAAAACUCCCAGCCUAGAGUUCGAGAGAGGUGAGUGGAAUUCCGAGUGUAGAGGUGAAAUUCGUAGAUAUUCGGAGGAACACCAGUGGCGAAGGCGGCUCACUGGCUCGACACUGACGCUGAGGUGCGAAAGCGUGGGGAGCAAACAGG